UAUUAUUUUCAUUUAUCAUCUGCACUUCAGAGGUUGUUUUUCAACAAAAACGUUAGUUCAGAUACGCAAAAAUGAAACAUAUUAAUCUAUUAGCAGUAUUUGUGUGUUUCAUUGUAUUGCUGGAUACAACAGAUGCAUGGGAAGGACACUUCGAAGUAGUAAGACGAAACAGAAAAGUAUUAGAGCGUUAUUGUGCGAAAUGGACUGAUUGGUGGGGAUGUUUCUACUAUAAAUCCUACUGGAGAACCGUUUACUAUUAUGAAACAAUUUGCAGUCCUGGGUGGACACACAAUGGGGAUCAAGACUGUUCUAUUAGAAUCUGAUUUCGACAAAUUCGCAGGAUAUAUACAAUUAUAGUAUUUACUUUUAUGAAGACAUACAAACUUUUUCCAAAUUCUAAAUUGAUGUAUUCGUGUCGGCCUGCUUUUACUUAUUUCAAGACAUAUAUGUCUAUUGUAGUGUGCAUUUCUCAGAAAUGAAAAAAAUGUUGUUUUUUAGUUGUGUCUCAACAUUUUAUAGGAUAAAAAGAUGACAAGUUUAUAAUACUUUUUUUGUAAUAAGUGCAAUAAAGAAUUACAUGUUUCAUAAUUUAUCACUGAUAAUUGUUGAUUGACAUACUAUAAGAAGCUAUACGUACAAUAAAAAAUCUUAUUUAAAGGCACAUGUAAGACAAUUAGACCCUAUGACUUCUCGACCACUUUGGUUAUUAAGAUUACUUCUAGACCCUAUGGCUUUUCGACCCCUCAGGAUUUUAAGAUGACUUCCCGAACCUUGACUUCUCGAUCCCUUAGGGAACCCGACCCUUUGACUCUCGACCUCUUAGGAGUUUAAGAUGACCUAUAGACCCUUUUGACUUUUAGAUUUCUUUUAACAAUUUUUUUCGACCCCCAAAGGGGGUCCCUUUUGAGCUUAUCGAAUUAAUAUACAAAUGUACCAAUUUUACUCAAAGACACAUUAAAGACCCAUUAUGCUCCAGAAUGCUUUUACUUUUAUUUUUCAAAAGCUUUUUUAAAAUUUUUUGUGGUGUUUUAAAACGUUACUGAUUGGCCAGAUUCCUGAAUCAUCUUUUGCAUCUGUAGCUUUUUGUUACAGUGAUUAAGAAUUUGUAUGGAAGCAAAAAUACUAUUAGUUUUUAUAUUUUGCAACUUUAUAACUUCACAUUUGUCACUACUAUCCUAAGGAAAUAAACAUAUAACUUGCUCUAAAUUACCUAAACGUUAUAAAACCCGCUUUUCCCAUUUCUAAAGACGUUUCUUAAAGUUUCACGAUAUGCAUUUAGCAUUUAAUGAUUGACUAAGAGUUGAAAAUGUUAAGACCCAAAGAAAAGCACUUUUAGCAAAUUUGUUCAGAUACCUUGUGUAAAUGAUAUGAGAUAUAUUUCAAGAUUUAAAUUAUCAUACCUUUUGAGUUAAUCGAAUUAUUAUACCAAUUUUACUCUAAGACGCGCAUAGUUUAACGUUAUCAAAUUUAUGCAAUGCAACACAUGCAAUUUGAAAUAAAUUUUCAUUUUAUGAAUACAAUGUAUGUUGUUACAUUUAUUAUAUACUUAUAAAUAAAAUAUUGAGACAUUGCA